UCUGCAAUUAACUUUCUGUGUCCUCUCUCCUCCAGGCCAGCAAGAUCUUCCUCACCUGCCCCCUGGCUGAUGGGUGUCCUGCGCAGCAACUGACAAGAACUAAGGAAGGCUGAGAGAAGGUGGAGGAAAUCGACUGGGAUCUUCACUCGUACCAAUCUCUCCUUUCCAAGUUCUCAUUCGAGAUGCUGUCCUUCAACUGAUCAAAUACAGUAACCCAACCACCUGCCCACUGGAUUCCAUCCCAUCUGCAUUGUUUCAGUCAAUCUCCAAGGACCUACUGCCCUUCAUCACUUUUCUCAUUACCAAGUCCUUGGCAUCAGAACCAGCUCCAGGACCCCAACCAGUCUGGGUUCAAACCAGCGCACUCAACAGAAAUUGCCCUCAUAGCAGUGACUGAGGCUCCAAUCAGCAAGAUCAGCCAAACUGUCAUCUGUCCUGAUCCUUCUUGAUCUCUCAGCAGCUUUUGAUACAGUCAACCAUAUGAUCCUUCUGGACAUCCUCACCAACCUUGGAAUCACUGGCUAUGCGUGGAAGUGGUUCAAGUCCUAUGUGGAGGAUCACUCUUAUCAGGUUACAUGGAGAGGGUUCACAUCCUCUCCAUGCAGGCUCUCCACUGGUGUCCCACAAGGCUCGGUGCUGGGUCCUCUUC